rnacentral:piRNA from 1 species
UCUCGAAAUUCUACGGAAAAA